AUUGAACGCUGGCGGAAUGCUUUACACAUGCAAGUCGAACGGCAGCACGGACUUCGGUCUGGUGGCGAGUGGCGAACGGGUGAGUAAUGUAUCGGAACGUGCCCAGUCGUGGGGGAUAACGUAGUGAAAAUUACGCUAAUACCGCAUACGAUCUAUGGAUGAAAGCGGGGGAUCGCAAGACCUCGCGCGAUUGGAGCGGCCGAUAUCAGAUUAGGUAGUUGGUGGGGUAAAGGCCCACCAAGCCAACGAUCUGUAGCUGGUCUGAGAGGACGACCAGCCACACUGGAACUGAGACAAGGUCCAGACUCCUACGGGAGGCAGCAGUGGGGAAUUUUGGACAAUGGGCGAAAGCCUGAUCCAGCCAUUCCGCGUGCAGGAUGAAGGCCCUCGGGUUGUAAACUGCUUUUGUACAGAACGAAGAGGUUUCUACUAAUACUAGGAGCUCAUGACGGUACUGUAAGAAUAAGCACCGGCUAACUACGUGCCAGCAGCCGCCGUAA
rnacentral:rRNA from 1 species